rnacentral:rRNA from 1 species
GACGAACGCUGGCGGCGUGCUUAACACAUGCAAGUCGAACGCUGAAGCCCUUCGGGGUGGAUGAGUGGCGAACGGGUGAGUAACACGUGGGUAAUCUGCCCUGCACUCUGGGAUAAGCCUUGGAAACGGGGUCUAAUACCGGAUAGGACACAUCGCCGCAUGGUGUGUGUGUGGAAAGUUCCGGCGGUGCAGGUUGAGCCCGCGGCCUAUCAGCUUGUUGGUGGGGUGAUGGCCUACCAAGGCGACGACGGGUAGCCGGCCUGAGAGGGUGAACGGCCACACUGGGACUGAGACACGGCCCGGACUCCUACGGGAGGCAGCAGUGGGGAAUCUUGCGCAAGGGGCGAGAGCCUGACGCAGCAACGCCGCGUGGGGGAUGACGGCCUUCGGGUUGUAAACCUCUUUCGACCGGGACGAAGGAUUCGUUUGACGGUACCGGUAGAAGAAGCACCGGCUAACUACGUGCCAGCAGCCGCCGUAA